rnacentral:rRNA from 1 species
AUGGAGGCAGGCUCCGGCGACGCCAAUAGGGGAUCACGGCGGCGCACGCGCCGGAGCUCGAAGAGGAUGCACGGGAGCACGAGGAGGAUGUGCGUGAGCUUUAGGAGGAUGCAGGGGAGCUCGAGGAGGGACGCGCACGGCCUCGCGGAAGACGUAGCGGGAGAUUCCAGCGACGCCCACAGAGAGCUGCCAACGGCCGGCUACGACAAGACGCAGGCGACUGCGGAGAACGGGCUGACGGAGCAAGGAAGGUUGCGCAGGGGCGACGGCCCAUGGCAGGCUGGCGAUGACCAUCCGCGCAAACUCUACAGGCGCGCUGUCGCCGCAGAUGAGGACGGUCCAAGAUGGCCGAACUGA